AUUGAACGCUGGCGGCAUGCCUUACACAUGCAAGUCGAACGGCAGCACGGGUGCUUGCACCUGGUGGCGAGUGGCGAACGGGUGAGUAAUACAUCGGAACAUGUCCUGUAGUGGGGGAUAGUCCGGCGAAAGCCGGAUUAAUACCGCAUACGACCUACGGAUGAAAGCGGGGGACCUUCGGGCCUCGCGCCAUAGGGUUGGCCGAUGGCUGAUUAGCUAGUUGGUGGGGUAAAGGCCUACCAAGGCGACGAUCAGUAGCCGGUCUGAGAGGACGACCAGCCACACUGGGACUGAGACACGGCCCAGACUCCUACGGGAGGCAGCAGUGGGGAAUUUUGGACAAUGGGCGAAAGCCUGAUCCAGCAAUGCCGCGUGUGUGAAGAAGGCCUUCGGGUUGUAAAGCACUUUUGUCCGGAAAGAAAUCCUUGGCCCUAAUACGGUCGGGGGAUGACGGUACCGGAAGAAUAAGCACCGGCUAACUACGUG
rnacentral:rRNA from 1 species